GGUACAGAAAAUGGUGGGUCUCUCCUAUCUGUCAGUUCCCAUUAAAUCAGAAGAGCUUGCAGAAGAAGCUUCCAGAGAGGGUCUUACCCUUUGGGGCAGGAGGCACGCCAACAGCCUCUUUGGGACCUGGACCUUGAAGAAAGGGGUUUCCUUCUGGGCACACCUCACAGCUCCUGAAGCCUUGCAUGAGCUGGGACCAGGGAUACAAGGAUGACCAAUGCAGGCUCGCUCCUCCCGCAGGGGGCCUGCAGGCUGGUGGCCUCACCAGUCCAGACCCCAUGGACUCAGUCAACUACGGCCCCCAGGGACUGUCUGGUGGGCAGCAUGGCCUGGCCUUUCUGAACCUGGAGCUGAUCCUAAGGGAUGGCUGCUUCUGGAGGCUCCAGGCAGGAGGGCCAAGCUAGUGCUGUCAGAGAAAGAUGACUUCCAACAGCAGAAAGCACCCAUGGGCCACAGAACCUGAGUGACAAGGGGAAAAUGGGCCCAAAAGCCCCCUGGAAAUCCACCCCAUCCAGAAGAGGACUAUGAGCUUCCGCAGUUAUGGAACACAGUUCUAAGCCAACCUGAGGCCACAGCAACUAAGAAUCCAGCAGACGUCGGGUCCACCCGUGCAUUUCUACAUCCUUUUUCGAAUGUAGAAAUUACGGGCCCAUUUUCUUGUCCAUUGUUUCCCUGUUUUCUCUUGCUGACACCCUGGUCUUGAGAUGUGUUGUUGUGUGGAGGGACUAGUGUAGUGUUAUGAAAUAAAUAAAGGCUGUAGAGC
ensembl:lncRNA